UGAAGAUCCAAUGAGAUAAUGUUUGCAAGCAUUUAGCACAGUGGGUGGAACAUAGCAGGUGCUCGAUGAAUGCUUACUGGAGAAGGAAAUGGCAAAUCACUACAGCAUCUUUGCCAAGUAAAUCCUAGACAGGUCAAAAGAGUCAGACAUGACUAAAUGACUAAACAACGCUGGGCCCUCUUACAAAAUGCCAUGGUUGGAGAGAAAACAUCUUCCUUCCUCACGAUCCCCUCCUACUUGAAAGGCUUGAUUUUCUACAGAGGUUUAACUUUUUAAAAGCCAGAGGUGCCCGAGUUAAUCUUUCACCAACCCAGGGCCAGCUGCCCUUUUAAUUACAUCAGGAAGAACUGCUUCACCCUUCACUUUAUGAAUAACAAGAGACCUCUUUGCAUUGGUUUUUGACAUAUUAAUACUUCAUUACCACUGUUAUCUGACCCUUAAUUUCCAUGAUUUAUAUCACCUGAGCUUGAGGGUGAGGAAUCAAGUCUCUCCCUUCACCUCAUACCACCUGGGAAAAGUGCUCUGUCAACUUGGAAACACUAUGUAAAGAUUCCCUGCAAACAGUCCUGGAUAACCUGGUUUCAUGACAUCAAUGGCUGGUUGAUAUGGGGAAACUAUUUCCAUGAUGAAGAGCAUCUGGAAGUCGAGGCAGGACUGGGACCAUCCCCAGAGGAGUGUGGAGCCUGGGAAACCAACCCUGCCACCAGCCUUUUCUCUCUCUUCUUUCCCUUUCCACCCAUUUUUAUUCGGGUAAAAACUGGUUCAAAAGAAAAAAGAGACUGUCUUAGAGGCCUUUUUUUUUUUUUGUAUGUAGCCAGAGGGAUGUGGAAGUGCCUGUGUGUGCUAGGAUUGCAUGUCUGUAAGUUCCUUUGCUGUCUAAGACCAUCUGUCUUCUCUUUGACCCCCUGUUUUCCCCACUCCAGCUCUGCACCUUACCCCAUGGUUGAUCCAACCCCAAGGUUCACCUCUUCUGGGGCAGCAGCUCUUUUUUCUUACGUUACUGGUUACUUCACCAGGAAGGGGUGAAGGGGAAAGUUAAAUGAGGUUUCUAGUCUAGAUGAUCCAGUUAUCACAUUGUGAGUAUGUGAUUGAGUAGGAUUAUUAGAGUAUAAAAUCAAAGUAAAUUCCAAGCCAGUUUUCUAAUAGGUUUUGACAUAGGAAUGGCUCUUUCAAGAACUUUGGCAAUUCUAUAGCAAUGUGAUGAGUACAAUCUGGCCCACUGUCCCUUAACCUGGCUGGUUCCAGCUGCCCCUCAGGGCAGUCAUCAGGGAUGACUUUUUCUCUCUUUGCCCUCUGAUUUGUGUUCCUUCUGGUUGUGUUUCCUCCAUUUAUUAGGGGAUCAGUGAUUAGCACCGCAAAAUUAUUUAUCCCUGCAACAUCAAUUGACUUUUAUAAAGAGUAUUUACUUCAAAGAGAUAGUAAGAACAAAUGUGUAAGCUUUCCCCCCAAUACUUCCAAUGCUUAUUCUCGCCUAUACCACCUCAGUGUUUGGGGGAGUAGGCUCAAAAUUUUGCUCAGUUCCUACAUAGUAUAGGCCCCACCAAAUUCAAGUUCACUGCAGGUUAAGUUCUUCCAACAGGCUGAGACCCUAAAGGUUACUCGCAAAGGUCACUCCUUGCUCCUCAGGGCACUGCUACUAUGCUGGCUAUAAAACACAGGUUGGAUUCUGAUGCUUAGAUUGCUAUGGCUCUCUCUUCUGACCAAAAAUUGCAAUGAAUGAAAACACCAAGGACCG
ensembl:lncRNA